GACGAACGCUGGCGGCGUGCCUAAUACAUGCAAGUUGAGCGCUGAAGGUUGGUACUUGUACCAACUGGAUGAGCAGCGAACGGGUGAGUAACGCGUGGGGAAUCUGCCUUUGAGCGGGGGACAACAUUUGGAAACGAAUGCUAAUACCGCAUAAAAACUUUAAACACAAGUUUUAAGUUUGAAAGAUGCAAUUGCAUCACUCAAAGAUGAUCCCGCGUUGUAUUAGCUAGUUGGUGAGGUAAAGGCUCACCAAGGCGAUGAUACAUAGCCGACCUGAGAGGGUGAUCGGCCACACUGGGACUGAGACACGGCCCAAACACCUACGGGAGGCAGCAGUAGGGGAGCUUCGGCAAUGGACGAAAGGCUGACCGAGCAACGCCGCGUGAGUGAAGAAGGGUUUCGGAUCGUAAAACUCUGUUGGUAGAGAAGAACGUUGGUGAGAGUGGAAAGCGCAUCAAGUGACGGUAACUACCCAGAAAGGGACGGCUAACUACGUG
rnacentral:rRNA from 1 species